rnacentral:rRNA from 1 species
AGUACUCGAGUGGCGAACGGGUGAGUAACACGUGGGUAAUCUGCCCUGCACUCUGGGAUAAGCCUGGGAAACUGGGUCUAAUACCGGAUAGGACCAUGCUUUAGUGUGUGUGGUGGAAAGUUUUUUCGGUGUAGGAUGAGCCCGCGGCCUAUCAGCUUGUUGGUGGGGUAAUGGCCUACCAAGGCGGCGACGGGUAGCCGGACUGAGAGGUUGGUCGGCCACAUUGGGACUGAGAUACGGCCCAG